UGAGGAAUAUUGGUCAAUGGGCGAGAGCCUGAACCAGCCAAGUAGCGUGCAGGAUGACGGCCCUAUGGGUUGUAAACUGCUUUUAUAGAGGGAUAAAGUGAGAGUACGUGUACCGUUUUGUCAGGUACCG
rnacentral:rRNA from 1 species